GUUGUCGUGAGACAGGGUCUGAAGGAAGUCCAAUCCGAAACUGCGGGGCGAUGAACAAGAACCGGAUAUGAGGCGUGGUGUAUCUGGGGCGAGCGGGCACGUGACCGUGAAGCCCUCUAUCUGCGGCAGCAAGGUGCACUUUGUAAAUCCGGCGUCCAUGCAGGGAAGGUAACGUGU
rfam:Thauera sp. 27 Cont70, whole genome shotgun sequence.